AGGGUAUCUGAUCCAAGGUCGCUAAACGGAUAAGUCGAGGGGCAUUUUGGUAACUUGGACAGGUUUAGUGGAAUUCCACUAACCAGCCAGGUUCCCCUCCAUCCUUAUCCCCUCUGCCACCUCUCCAUUCUCUCUACGUAGAGAGAGAGAAGGAGGAAGGAAGAGAAGAAAAGAAAAGAGAGGAAGAAGAAGAAGAAGAGAAAAGAAAGAAGAUGAAAAGAGGUAAGUUUAACCUCUCCCUGCAUCUCUCUCCCUCUCAUCUCUCCCUGCUGCUACUGGUUGUAGCAGCAGUAGCUUCAGCAAUUAGCUCAGCAGCAGUAGUAGCUGCUGUCAACAGCAGCUUCAGCUGCUGUCAACAGCAGGCGCAGGAGCAACAGCAGCAGCAGUUAGCAACAGCAGCAGCAGUAAUAACAGCAGUUAGCAUCAGCAGCAGCUGCAAUAACAGCAGCAGCAGCAUCAGCAGCUUAGCCCUGCUGAGCUGAGUAGCAACAGCAGCUCAGCCUGCUGCUGAGCAGUCAGCAGCAGCAGGGCAAGCAGGCAGCAGCAGUAGCAGAAGCUGUCAACAGCAGCAGCAGCUUGCGCAAGCUGCUGAGCAGCAGCUUCAGCAGCUGCAGGAGCAGCAGCAGCUUAACAGCAGUAGCAGUAGCAGCAGCUUGCGCACAGCUGCUGUCAGCAGCAGCAGGAACAGCAUCAGCAGCAGCUGCUGCAGGGGAAAGAAGGAAAGGAAAGAAAGAAAGAAAGAAAGUAGAGAAAGAAAGAAAAGAAAGAAGGAAAAGAAAGGAAGAAAUCUGCAGGAAAGAAAGAAAGAAAGAAAGAGAAGAAAAAAAUGAAAGAAAGGAAAUGAAAUAGAGAGAAAAAUGAAAUCGAAGUCUUUGGGCAGAUUUCAUUAAUUAUUUUUGAGAUUCUUGGGCUAAAAAGAGUUGAAUUACUCUAGUGAAUUGUGAAAUUGCAUUGAAACGAGCUUCUAUAGAAAUUGACCCCGAUAAUGCACUUUUGCAGGAUAGAAGUUCUAAAGCGAAAUUGACCGCGUACAAACCUAAUUGGGGGUAAAAGAAACGCGCUGGCGAAGUCGGUUCGGCAAUCCGUCGCUCCUACGCGAAGAUAUCGCCAAAAGAAGAUUUUCGGCAUCGAUAGUCGCGAGCGCGGGUCGCGGUUCUCGGGAAAGCGCUAGAAGCGCAUUUCUCCCUUUCCGGCAUCAAAGAAAGGUGGGUUGUGCUUCACCGAAGUGAUUAGGUCACUUCCAUGCCAAAGUAAAUCAUAGUUUCAUUUGACGCAUAUAUGACGAUAACUGUCGGCAUAUGAAUGCUAAAUGCAUAUAAGUAGGCCUAUAUGAGUGUGUGGGCAUAUGUUAAUGCUAGAUGAUCCAUGUGAAUGUGAAUGCUAAAUGAAUAUGAAUAGGAAUAUGAAUAUGAAUAUGAGUAUGAAUAUGAAUGCCAUAUGAAUGCUAGAUGCACAUGGAUAUUGAACGCUAGAUACAUAUGAAUGAAAUUGUCGAAAUGUGAAUACAAAUGCUAAAGUAAACAUAAUUGUUGAUACAUGAUACAUGAAAGCUAGUGUUAAAGGCUUAUGAAUAUGAAUGUUUAACGUCUAUGUCUAAACAUAUAUGAAAGUGAAUGUAUUGAUAACCAUAUUAGAUGUAUAAUUGUUGAUACAUGAAAGCUAAUACUUGUGAAUAUGAAGGUUUGAUGCUUAUAUCCAAACACAUAUGAAAAUGAAUAUACUAUAAUUCAAGCUAUAUGAAUAUCGAUAAUUCUCGUUGAUUAGAAACCUCAACGGUAACAAGAUACAUGAGAACAUGUGAACUAUGAACCUAGGCAAGAACACCUAGGGUGAUGUAUAGAUCGAGUGGCAUGAGUUUAAGUUAUUAAACAUAAGAAACAUAAGUUGGACAUUAUAUCGACGGUGUGGAAUGAACCUAAGUUAUUAAACCUAGGUUGGACAUUGUAUAGAUCGAGUGGCAUGAACCUAGUGUUAUUGAACAUAGGUCGGACAUUAACCUAGCGUCAUUGGCCCUAGGUCAAGUAAGUUAACCUAGAGUUGAGAUCUAGGAGAAAGAAUAUUAAACCUAGUGUAAACGAACCUAGGUUAUGAUGUAAUGAAACACUCGAUAAAAAGUAAAUCAAGUUGUGAAUUAUAGUGGCAAUAGGACCACUAGAAAGUGAAUAGUAUAGACCUAAGAAGGUCGUCAACAUAGGGUCAGUGAGUAAACCCUUAAGUUGUGAAAUGGAUUCCGGAAUCCUUAGGAAUGGUGUGAUGGCAGAAAUAGAAUCUUAACUACGGGAUUGACGGUUCUCCUCUCCCGGUAGUGAUUCAACGGGAUUGACGGUUCUCCUCUCCCGGUAUGCCAUGAAACAAGUGAAGUGAAUCGAAACUACGGGAUCGACGGUUCUCCUCUCCCGGUAGUGAUUCAACGGGAUUGACGGUUCUCCUCUCCC
rnacentral:lncRNA from 1 species